CGCGGCCUAUCAGCUUGUUGGUGGGGUGAUGGCCUACCAAGGCGACGACGGGUAGCCGGCCUGAGAGGGCGACCGGCCACACUGGGACUGAGACACGGCCCAGACUCCUACGGGAGGCAGCAGUGGGGAAUAUUGCACAAUGGGCGGAAGCCUGAUGCAGCGACGCCGCGUGAGGGAUGACGGCCUUCGGGUUGUAAACCUCUUUCAGCAGGGACGAAGCGCAAGUGACGGUACCUGCAGAAGAAGCGCCGGCCAACUACGUGCCAGCAGCCGCGGUAAGACGUAGGGCGCGAGCGUUGUCCGGAUUUAUUGGGCGUAAAGAGCUCGUAGGCGGCUUGUCGCGUCGUCUGUGAAAUCCCGCGGCUCAACCGCGGGUCUGCAGUCGAUACGGGCAGGCUAGAGUUCGGUAGGGGAGACUGGAAUUCCUGGUGUAGCGGUGAAAUGCGCAGAUAUCAGGAGGAACACCGGUGGCGAAGGCGGGUCUCUGGGCCGAUACUGACGCUGAGGAGCGAAAGCGUGGGGAGCGAACAGGAUUAGGUACCCUGGUAGUCCACGCUGUAAACGUUGGGCGCUAGGUGUGGGGGACCUCUCCGGUUCUCUGUGCCGCAGCUAACGCAUUAAGCGCCCCGCCUGGGGAGUACGG
rnacentral:rRNA from 1 species